rnacentral:rRNA from 1 species
GCAGCCGCCGCGGUAAUACGAAGGGGGCUAGCGUUGCUCGGAAUCACUGGGCGUAAAGGGUGCGUAGGCGGGUCUUUAAGUCAGGGGUGAAAUCCUGGAGCACAACUCCAGAACUGCCUUUGAUACUGAAGAUCUUGAGUUCGGGAGAGGUGAGUGGAACUGCGAGUGUAGAGGUGAAAUUCGUAGAUAUUCGCAAGAACACCAGUGGCGAAGGCGGCUCACUGGCCCGAUACUGACGCUGAGGCACGAAAGCGUGGGGAGCAAACAGGAUUAGAUACCCCUGUAGUCCCUGUCUCUUAUAC